rnacentral:lncRNA from 1 species
CGGGGAGCUGGUGCUAUGUUAUCCGAAUGACUACCCUCAUUUCCUGUGUUGGGGUCACUUCAUUUUUCCUGUCUUGGUUUCCAUAAGAGGCAGUGGACCAGAUGGAGGAGAACUGAAGGAUGAUCUAUCAACUCUCCCUGCAACAUUUGGAGGAUUUUCACUUCCUUUUAAUCAGGAGCAGGCUGUUCUCAGAGGAUCACCUUGCCUCCCACUGCCCUACUUGCUCCCAAAGCAGACAGCGAGAAUUUGAUUUUACUAUCAGAGCUAGGACUGCGGGAAAAGGGCAGCAGGUCGGAAAAAGAGUCCAGAAAACCUUGGAAGCCUGCCUUAUGGGGUGAUGGAAUGAAAAACCAGACCAAACCAACCAGAC